UCUUCUCCGCCGGCGACCGGCGCACGGGUGAGUAACACGUAUGCAACCUGCCCCUGUCAGGGGGACAACCCGCCGAAAGGCGGGCUAAACCCGCGUACAUGCCACCGGGGCAUCCCGGAGGCAGGAAAGGCUUCGGCCGGACAGGGAUGGGCAUGCGGCGCAUUAGGCAGUAGGCGGGGUAACGGCCCACCUAACCGACGAUGCGUAGGGGUUCUGAGAGGAAGGUCCCCCACACUGGUACUGAGACACGGACCAGACUCCUACGGGAGGCAGCAG
rnacentral:rRNA from 1 species